AGAAUAUUAGGUCUGAUUUUUUACAGAUGAGAAUGCUAGAAACAUUAUUUGUCACCUUCGCAAAGGCGCAUGAUACUUUGGUAAAGUAGACGAAAAAGUGCCGGGUUACGUUUUUGAGAGUACCACAGACGUAAUUCCGAUGGUCACCCGUACGAGGUACUAUAGCAUUAGAAGUCAACCCUCGUUCACUGAGCCCAGCAAACAUCAGGCGCAAGUCGCGCAGACGAAAGGAUACAAGUUACUAAUUUAAGACGAGUAAUUAAUAGCAGCAAGUGAGGAGGAUAACGAAGUAUUCACAUAAAAAAAAUCAACCGGUAGUGCGAAACAGGUCAAGGUCAAGUUCAGUGCAAGCAUGAACAACACAGCAAUAACUGAAGCUUUGGCAACCGCCAACCAACGCUACCACAGUUUGGGUUGGUUGGGAUAUGAAGCUUAAAAUAGCGUAUUUCGAAACAUUCCUGGAAGGAACUGCCGCAUUAUGGUUCAGAAAGUUCUUAGAUGAAAACGGAGACAAAGCCUGGGAAGAUGUCGCUACCGUGUCUAAAGCAGAAUUGUAUUAUCUAUAGGAUUUUGGAAGUGCGUUUAAUAGAAAUGUGCAAGAAAGAAAACCAGGGCCCAACGAACUAGUGAAGGAGUACUUUUACGUACUUCAGGUAAGGCAGCGGAACUGAACGAAAGAGGCAGAACGUGCCUACAAAAUCUGGGGAAGAAAACCUCGAAUUACUCAGGACCCGAAUUUAUUCAGCCUCAGUCAGGAUGGGAAAUGUUUUCGGAGCCGGCAAACAAUGAUAGCAACUACAGCGAUAUAGAAGCAAGCAAGUAUUUUAAGAGGUAGUCGUCAAACCCCAAUACUGAUGGAAAUUCUGUCCUCAACUCCACAAAGCGACGUUUCCAUAUUUGCCAUACACCAAGCCACUUCGCCAUUUUCUGCCCAAGCGCUGGAUGACGAAUGAAUUACGAGCCUGCUUGUCUUCGAAGUUUUGUCCCUCUUAGCUGACUUGCUUCAGGGUCUUCAGGAACUACCCUGUAGAUGUACCUUGAAGAUCAGAUACACGGACACGUGACCCUUGGAUCGGCCAUGUUUGACGGUGGCCAAAGCUUCUGUGAUUGCUGUGUUACUCAUGCUUGCACUGACCUUGACCUGUUAUGUACUACCGGCUGGUUUUUUUAUGUCCGGCUGAACAGAAGUCAUUAUGGU